GGGAUGUAGCAGGCCAUCAAUUCUCCACAUUCCCCAGAAACCACCACCAGGUCUCAAGCUAAUUCUCUUCCCUGAACGGGGGAUGAAAGGGCUUGAGGUUACCCCACAGGAAGAAAUUUCCAAGUGUGCCUUCCUGGGCUCUCAAAGAGGUUCUGAACUUGGGUGGUGGCAGCAUCUACCAAUCCAAGGACUAAAGGUGCACAGCUCAAUGUAUACUGAGAGUCAAUGCUGAGAUUGUUUACUUUGGAUGUGCUACUGUUCUACUACAAUUUUGUCUUUGACCUCAGGUCUUGCAAAAUCUCAGGAGUCUGUUCAUCCCUUUGAUCUGUGUCUUCAGCUCCAAUUAGUCAAAAAUAAAUGAAAUACGCAUUCUGAAGGGACAAUAGGCUCCUUAUUUUGGAAGACUCUUGUCACUCAAGCUCCCAGGUCACAUGGUGUAUAUUAUGAGCCUCUGAUGUCACAAGCUAUGCAAUUUUGUCAAAUAAAGCAUAACAAUAAUCUUAAUUAACUUUAUGAAGCCACGGGUAGCAUUCAUCUUUCAGCUUCAUGGAAACAAAGAAAAAUAGAACAACCCUCUCUUAUUAGCAAACUGAGGAAUAAUUAAAAACUUGAAAGAGAUUAAGAGGAAGGAGUAAGAUGAACUAACACUGUCUCUUUAAGAUUAUCUGUGUGAGGAAGAAAAAGGCCUCAGUGUCAGUGGAAAGGGUCUGUCAAGAUCACCGCUUCAUGACAAGGUUAAAGGUCUCCAAGUCCAGCUGAGCUGUGUUCCAUGCAACACUUGAAGAAGGAAGAAAAAAAUUCACUACUUCACCGCCUUUUAGGUUCUUAUGUGUCUACACGUGCCCUUGAGAGCCUAUGAAUGAAUCCAAAACAUUAACUCAGCAGGGUAUAUUGAUGUGAAGGCUACAGAAAGGG